UACGGAGGGUGCGAGCGUUGUCCGGAAUCACUGGGCGUAAAGGGCGCGUAGGCGGCGCGGGUAGUCAUCGGUGAAAGUUCAGGGCUCAACUCUGAAUCGGCCGGUGAUACUCCCGUGCUCGAGCACUGUAGAGGCAGGUGGAAUUCCGGGUGUAGCGGUGAAAUGCGUAGAUAUCUGGAGGAACAUCAGUGGCGAAGGCGACACCCUGGACUCAUACUGACACUGAGGUGCGAAAGCGUGGGGAGCAAACAGG
rnacentral:rRNA from 1 species